rnacentral:rRNA from 1 species
CGACACACUAUCGUUAACUGAAUACAUAGGUUAACGAGGCGAACCGGGGGAACUGAAACAUCUAAGUACCCCGAGGAAAAGAAAUCAACCGAGAUUCCCCCAGUAGCGGCGAGCGAACGGGGAGCAGCCCGGAGUCUGAAUCAGCUUGUGUGUUAGUGGAACGGUCUGGAAAGUCCGACGGUACAGGGUGAUAGUCCCGUACACGAAAAUGCACUUGCUGUGAACUCGAAGAGUAGGGCGGGACACGUGGUAUCCUGUCUGAAUAUGGGGGGACCAUCCUCCAAGGCUAAAUACUCCUGACUGACCGAUAGUGAACCAGUACCGUGAGGGAAAGGCGAAAAGAACCCCGGCGAGGGGAGUGAAAAAGAACCUGAAACCGUGUACGUACAAGCAGUGGGAGCACCUUCGGGUGUGACUGCGUACCUUUUGUAUAAUGGGUCAGCGACUUAUAUUCUGUAGCAAGGUUAACCGUAUAGGGGAGCCGAAGGGAAACCGAGUCUUAACUGGGCGUUAAGUUGCAGGGUAUAGACCCGAAACCCGGUGAUCUAGCCAUGGGCAGGUUGAAGGUUGGGUAACACUAACUGGAGGACCGAACCGACUAAUGUUGAAAAAUUAGCGGAUGACCUGUGGCUGGGGGUGAAAGGCCAAUCAAACCGGGAGAUAGCUGGUUCUCCCCGAAAGCUAUUUAGGUAGCGCCUCGUGAACUCAUCUUCGGGGGUAGAGCACUGUUUCGGCUAGGGGGCCAUCCCGGCUUACCAACCCGAUGCAAACUACGAAUACCGAAGAAUGUUAUCACGGGAGACACACGGCGGGUGCUAACGUCCGUCGUGAAGAGGGAAACAACCCAGACCGCCAGCUAAGGUCCCAAAGUCAUGGUUAAGUGGGAAACGAUGUGGGAAGGCACAGACAGCCAGGAUGUUGGCUUAGAAGCAGCCAUCAUUUAAAGAAAGCGUAAUAGCUCACUGGUCGAGUCGGCCUGCGCGGAAGAUGUAACGGGGCUAAACCAUGCACCGAAGCUGCGGCAGCGACACUAUGUGUUGUUGGGUAGGGGAGCGUUCUGUAAGCCGUUGAAGGUGUGCUGUGAGGCAUGCUGGAGGUAUCAGAAGUGCGAAUGCUGACAUAAGUAACGAUAAAGCGGGUGAAAAGCCCGCUCGCCGGAAGACCAAGGGUUCCUGUCCAACGUUAAUCGGGGCAGGGUGAGUCGACCCCUAAGGCGAGGCCGAAAGGCGUAGUCGAUGGGAAACAGGUUAAUAUUCCUGUACUUGGUGUUACUGCGAAGGGGGGACGGAGAAGGCUAUGUCAGCCGGGCGACGGUUGUCCCGGUUUAAGCAUGUAGGCGGAGGUUCCAGGUAAAUCCGGUACCUUUUAACGCUGAGGUGUGAUGACGAGGCACUACGGUGCUGAAGUGAUAAAUGCCCUGCUUCCAGGAAAAGCCUCUAAGCAUCAGGUAACACGAAAUCGUACCCCAAACCGACACAGGUGGUCAGGUAGAGAAUACCAAGGCGCUUGAGAGAACUCGGGUGAAGGAACUAGGCAAAAUGGUGCCGUAACUUCGGGAGAAGGCACGCUGAUAUGUAGGUGAAGUCCCUGCGGACGGAGCUGAAAUCAGUCGAAGAUACCAGCUGGCUGCAACUGUUUAUUAAAAACACAGCACUGUGCAAACACGAAAGUGGACGUAUACGGUGUGACGCCUGCCCGGUGCCGGAAGGUUAAUUGAUGGGGUUAGCGGCAACGCGAAGCUCUUGAUCGAAGCCCCGGUAAACGGCGGCCGUAACUAUAACGGUCCUAAGGUAGCGAAAUUCCUUGUCGGGUAAGUUCCGACCUGCACGAAUGGCGUAAUGAUGGCCAGGCUGUCUCCACCCGAGACUCAGUGAAAUUGAACUCGCUGUGAAGAUGCAGUGUACCCGCGGCAAGACGGAAAGACCCCGUGAACCUUUACUAUAGCUUGACACUGAACACUGGUCCUUGAUGUGUAGGAUAGGUGGGAGGCUUUGAAGCGUGGACGCCAGUCUGCGUGGAGCCAUCCUUGAAAUACCACCCUUUAAUGGCUGGUGUUCUAACGUAGACCCGUAAUCCGGGUUGCGGACAGUGUCUGGUGGGUAGUUUGACUGGGGCGGUCUCCUCCCAAAGAGUAACGGAGGAGCACGAAGGUUGGCUAAUCCUGGUCGGACAUCAGGAGGUUAGUGCAAUGGCAUAAGCCAGCUUGACUGCGAGCGUGACGGCGCGAGCAGGUGCGAAAGCAGGUCAUAGUGAUCCGGUGGUUCUGAAUGGAAGGGCCAUCGCUCAACGGAUAAAAGGUACUCCGGGGAUAACAGGCUGAUACCGCCCAAGAGUUCAUAUCGACGGCGGUGUUUGGCACCUCGAUGUCGGCUCAUCACAUCCUGGGGCUGAAGUAGGUCCCAAGGGUAUGGCUGUUCGCCAUUUAAAGUGGUACGCGAGCUGGGUUUAGAACGUCGUGAGACAGUUCGGUCCCUAUCUGCCGUGGGCGCUGGAGAAUUGAGGGGGGCUGCUCCUAGUACGAGAGGACCGGAGUGGACGCAUCACUGGUGUUCGGGUUGUCAUGCCAAUGGCACUGCCCGGUAGCUAAAUGCGGAAGAGAUAAGUGCUGAAAGCAUCUAAGCACGAAACUUGCCCCGAGAUGAGUUCUCCCUGAGACUUUAAGUCUCCUGAAGGAACGUUGAAGACGACGACGUUGAUAGGUCGGGUGUGUAAGCGCAGCGAUGCGUUGAGCUAACCGAUACUAAUGAACCGUGAGGCUUAACCUUACAACGCCGAAGGUGUUU